UAACCACUUACCAUCAGGUAUGCUCGUC
rnacentral:piRNA from 1 species